AUUGAACGCUGGCGGCAGGCCUAACACAUGCAAGUCGAACGAGUGGCGGACGGGUGAGUAAUGUCUGGGAAACUGCCUGAUGGAGGGGGAUAACUACUGGAAACGGUAGCUAAUACCGCAUCCCAUCAGAUGUGCCCAGAUGGGAUUAGCUAGUAGGUGGGGUAACGGCUCACCUAGGCGACGAUCCCUAGCUGGUCUGAGAGGAUGACCAGCCAAACGGGAACUGUGACACGGUCCGGACUCCUACGGGAGGAAGCAGUGGGGAAUAUUGGACAAGGGGCGCACGCCUGAUGCAGCCAUGCGGGGUGUAUGAAGAAGGCCUUCGGGUUGUAAAGUACUUUCAGAGGGGAGGCGUUACCCGCAGAAGAAGCACCGGCUAACUCCGUGCCAGCAGCCGCGGUAAUAC
rnacentral:rRNA from 1 species